rnacentral:tRNA from 1 species
GUUUUUUUAGUUUAAUAUUGAAUAUAAUUUUGAAGAGAUUGAGGUUAAGGAAAAAA